GGAAGUGUUACUCAGGAUAAGUAGUGUUUACUUUAUUAGUUUAGUGUUCCAUUAUAGUGGUGUUCCAUUAUGGUGGUACACUUUAGAGUGGUGUUACACCCAGGUGUAGCCAGCCGGCACCCCAGGUGUGGCCAGCCGGCACCCCAGGUGUAGCCAGCCGGCACCCCAGGUGUGGCCAGCCGGCACCCCAGGUGUAGCCAGCCGGCACCCCAGGUGUGGCCAGCACCAAAGGUGUGACUCUCGCUUGUAGUCAUGACGAUUGCCAAAUACAGCGCGUGUUUUUUGUAGUUUGUAAUAAAUUCACCUGGAAAAGUU